CCGAUGAGGUGGAAACGGACAGAGCUGGCGUAUCUGGCCUGCAUUCAGCCGCUGCGCGUCGGGCCCCGGUUUGCCGCACUCCAGAUUGGGAAGGUGGCUGGGCUGCUGGCGUGCUGGUGGUGCAUUUGCAGGUGGAGUGCGCCGAGGCGCUCGGUUCAGCGGCAUGAGCUCGGCUUUGAGGCCAGUCGCGCAAGCGGUCUGGUACCCGGGUCGGGGGAGUGUUGUUUGGGCUGGGUGUUCGCUUGGGCACAGGUUUCGGGCCCGUGUGGGUGCCGAGCUGGCGGUCGGCGGCGGUCGCGUGCGACACGUGCCAGCAGUCAGUUCGGUCCUGCUCGAGCUCUCUCGUGUCCGGCCUCGGUGUAAAAGCCGGUCAUCUGUCCGACCCGUCUUGAAACACGGACCAAGGAGUUUAGCGUGUGCGCGAGUCAUUGGGUGUUGAAAACCCAGAGGCGUAAUGAAAGUGAAGGUCUGCCUUGUGCAGCUGAUGUGUGAUCCUGGGCGCUGCGGCGUCCGGGCGCAACAUAGUCCCGUCCCGACUGCAUGCAGUGGGGCGGAGACAGAGCGUACGCGCUGAG
rnacentral:rRNA from 1 species